rnacentral:rRNA from 1 species
AAAUUGAAGAGUUUGAUCAUGGCUCAGAUUGAACGCUGGCGGCAGGCCUAACACAUGCAAGUCGAACGGUACAGGAAGCAGCUUGCUGC